AACGAACGCUGGCGGCAUGCCUAACACAUGCAAGUCGAACGAGACCGUCGGAUCUAGCUGCGCUCGGGGGCGUGACGCGUGGGAAGCUGCCCGUAGGUUCGGUAUAAUGCCCCGUAAGGGAUGCUAAUGCAGGAGAAUCUAAUCCGACAAAGGAUCUAUCGUCUUUGUAUGGGCCCGCGUUGGAUUAGCUAGUUGGUAGGGUAAAAGCCUACCAAGGCGACGAUCCAUAGCUGGUCUGAGAGGAUGAUCAGCGACACUGGGCCUGAGACACGGCCCAGACUCCUACGGAAGGCAGCGGUGGGGAAUAUUGUACGAUGGACGAAGGCCUGAUCCAGCAAUGCCGCGUGAGUGAUGCAGGCGUUAGUGUUGUAAAGCUCGUUUACCCGGGAUGAUAAUGACGGUACCGGGAGAAUAAGCUCCGGCUAACUACGUG
rnacentral:rRNA from 1 species